CCUACGGGAGGCAGCAGUGGGGAAUAUUGCACAAUGGGGGAAACCCUGAUGCAGCGACGCCGCGUGAGCGAGGAAGUAUGUCGGUAUGUAAAGCUCUAUCAGCAGGGACGAAAAAAGACGGUACCUGACGAAGAAGCACCGGCUAACUACGUGCCAGCAGCCGCGGUAAUACGUAGGGGGCAAGCGUUAUCCGGAUUUACGGGGGGUAAAGGGAGCGUAGACGGCAAGGAAAGCCAGAAGUGAAAGGGCAGGGCUCAACCCUGUACAUGCUUUUGUAACUGUGGUGCUAGAGGGCAGGAGCGGUAAGUGGCCUUCCUCGUGUAGCGGUGUCAUGCGUCGAUCUUAG
rnacentral:rRNA from 1 species